GACGAACGCUGGCGGCGUGCUUAACACAUGCAAGUCGAACGGAAAGGCCCUGCUUUUGUGGGGUGUUCGAGUGGCGAACGGGUGAGUAACAAGUGAGUAACCUGCCCUUGACUUUGGGAUAACUUCUGGAAACUGGGGCUACUACCGCAUAGUAGCUCCUGCUGCAUGGUGGGGGUGGGAAAGUUUCGGCGGUUGGGGAUGUACUCGCGGCUUAUCUGCUUGUUGGUGUGGUAGUGGCUUACCCAGGCUUUGCCGGGUAGCCGGACUGGGAGGGUGACCGGCCACAUUGGGAUUGGGGUGCGGCCCGUGCGGCUUCGGGAGGCAGGGGUGGGAGACAGUGGACAAUGGGCGGAGGGCUGGUGCAGCACCGCCGCGUGCGGGAUGACGGCCUUCGGGGAGGAAGCCGCUUACGCCUGUGACGAAGCGUGAGUGACGGUAAUGGGUAAAGAAGCACCGGCUAACUACGU
rnacentral:rRNA from 1 species